rnacentral:rRNA from 1 species
CAGUAGGGAAUCUUCCACAAUGGACGCAAGUCUGAUGGAGCAACGCCGCGUGAGUGAAGAAGGGUUUCGGCUCGUAAAGCUCUGUUGUUAAAGAAGAACGUGGGUAAGAGUAACUGUUUACCCAGUGACGGUAUUUAACCAGAAAGCCACGGCUAACUACGUGCCAG